AACGAACGCUGGCGGCAUGCCUAACACAUGCAAGUCGAACGAGACCUUCGGGUCUUGUGGCGCACGGGUGUGUAACGCGUGGGAACCUGCCCUUAGGUUCGGAAUAACUCCCCGAAAGGGGUGCUAAUACCGGAUAAUGUCUUCGGACCAAAGAUUUAUUGCUUUUGGAUGGGCCCGCGUUGGAUUAGCUAGUUGGUAGGGUAAUAGCCUACCAAGGCGACGAUCAAUAGCUGGUCUGAGAGGAUGAUCAGCCACACUGGGACUGAGACACGGCCCAGACUCCUACGGAAGGCGGCAGUGGGGAAUAUUGGACAAUGGAGGAAGGCCUGAUCCAGCAAUGCCGCGUGAGUGAUGAAGGCCUUAGGGUUGUAAAGCUCUUUUACCCGGGAUGAUAAUGACAGUACCGGGUGAAUAAGCUCCGGCUAACUCCGUG
rnacentral:rRNA from 1 species